UGGGGAAUAUUGCACAAUGGGCGAAAGCCUGAUGCAGCGACGCCGCGUGUAGGAAGACGGUCCUCUGGAUUGUAAACUACUGUCUUCAGGGACGAUAAUGACGGUACCUGAGGAGGAAGCUCCGGCUAACUACGUGCCAGCAGCCGCGGUAAUACGUAGGGAGCGAGCGUUGUCCGGAAUUACUGGGUGUAAAGGGAGCGUAGGCGGGAAUGUAAGUCAAGUGUUAAAACUAUCGGCUCAACCGAUAAUUGCGCUUGAAACUACAUUUCUUGAGUGAAGUAGAGGCAGGCGGAAUUCCUAGUGUAGCGGUGAAAUGCGUAGAUAUUAGGAGGAACACCAGUGGCGAAGGCGGCCUGCUGGGCUUUUACUGACGCUGAGGCUCGAAAGUGUGGGGAGCAAACA
rnacentral:rRNA from 1 species